rnacentral:rRNA from 1 species
GACGAACGCUGGCGGCGUGCUUAACACAUGCAAGUCGAACGGAAAGGCCCUGCUUUUGUGGGGUGCUCGAGUGGCGAACGGGUGAGUAACACGUGAGUAACCUGCCCUUGACUUUGGGAUAACUUCUGGAAACUGGGGCUAAUACCGGAUAGGAGCUCCUGCUGCAUGGUGGGGGUUGGAAAGUUUCGGCGGUUGGGGAUGGACUCGCGGCUUAUCAGCUUGUUGGUGGGGUAGUGGCUUACCAAGGCUUUGACGGGUAGCCGGCCUGAGAGGGUGACCGGCAACAUUGGGACUGAGAUACGGCCCAGACUCCUACGGGAGGCAGCAGUGGGGAAUAUUGCACAAGGGGCGGAAGCCGGAUGCAGCAACGCCGCGUGCGGGAUGACGGCCUUCGGGUUGUAAACCGCUUUCGCCUGUGACGAAGCGUGAGUGACGGUAAUGGGGAAAGAAGCACCGGCUAACUACGU